CCUACGGGCGGCAGCAGUGGGGAAUAUUGGACAAUGGGGGCAACCCUGAUCCAGCCAUGCCGCGUGUGUGAAGAAGGCCCUCGGGUUGUAAAGCACUUUCAGUGAGGAAGAACGCCUGGUGGUUAAUACCCAUCAGGAAAGACAUCACUCACAGAAGAAGCACCGGCUAACUCCGUGCCAGCAGCCGCGGCAAUACGGAGGGUGCGAGCGUUAAUCGGAAUUACUGGGCGUAAAGCGCGCGUAGGUGGCUUGAUAAGCCGGUUGUGAAAGCCCCGGGCUCAACCUGGGAACGGCAUCCGGAACUGUCAAGCUAGAGUGCAGGAGAGGAAGGUAGAAUUCCCGGUGUAGCGGUGAAAUGCGUAGAGAUCGGGAGGAAUACCAGUGGCGAAGGCGGCCUUCUGGACUGACACUGACACUGAGGUGCGAAAGCGUGGGUAGCAAACAGGAUUAGAUACCCCUGUAGUC
rnacentral:rRNA from 1 species